rnacentral:rRNA from 1 species
GACGAACGCUGGCGGCGUGCUUAACACAUGCAAGUCGAACGGUGAAGCGCCUUCCUUUUUGGUGGGUGUGGAUGAGUGGCGAACGGGUGAGUAACACGUGAGUAACCUGCCCCCUUCUUCUGGAUAACCGCAUGAAAGUGUGGCUAAUACGGGAUAUUCUGGGUCUGUCGCAUGAUGGGUCUGGGAAAGAUAUUGUUUCGGUGGGGGAUGGGCUCGCGGCCUAUCAGCUUGUUGGUGGGGUGAUGGGCUACCAAGGCGGUGACGGGUAGCCGGCCUGAGAGGGUGGACGGUCACACUGGGACUGAGACACGGCCCAGACUCCUACGGGAGGCAGCAGUGGGGAAUAUUGCACAAUGGGCGCAAGCCUGAUGCAGCGACGCCGCGUGAGGGAUGGAGGCCUUCGGGUUGUGAACCUCUUUCGCCAGUGAAGCAGGCCUGCCUCGUUUGUGGGUGGGUUGACGGUAGCUGGAGAAGAAGCGCCGGCUAACUACGUG